rnacentral:lncRNA from 1 species
AUUACUUUUUUGAGUUCUCCGUUUCUCUCUCCGCCUGCUUUUCUUCUAUUACUCUUAACCUUAGAGCUCAAAGCCAUUACUUUAUAAGCUAUUUCGGGUAUUUACAAUUCCUACUUUUCUCUUGCAAGAACUGUAUCUUCAUAGAUUAGAAACAAUAAUGAUUGGCUAAAUUGUAGAAGUUAUGUUGGAGAACCUAACUAUCAGAUCUUUAUUUUGGAUCGGUCCAAUUUCAUCGAAAAACACUAUUUAUAUGAUCUAUCAUUUUUCGGAGGUUUUGUUUUGCUGAUUUUGAAUUGUAAUCUUGCUAUUGCCCUAUCUUCAUAUCUUUACAGAGAUAGCACGGGUUUCUAGGAUUGUGCCAAACCAAAGUUUUGGUAAACUUGAUAGACUGAGAGAUAAAAAUCCCACACUUAUGUCUUCAUCUAACAUUUUAUCAAAUGUUGCUGGUGCAGGGUUAGCUGGUUGGCAUGGACUUCCGCAGAACGUAAUUAGUUUUCUGAUCCUUUGGUUGCUUCUAUAAUCUAUAAUAUGUGUCGAUCAAUGUAGUUAUGUUAGAUUUUUUUUUUUUUCAAUUUAAGCAGAAUGAAAUAGAAAUGCAAUGCCAUUGCAUUGAAAACAAAGAUGAAACUACUAUAGUAUUGCACCUUUGAUAUUAGUGUAGGUUCCUUAAGUGAAUGUCAGUAUCAUAUUUAGUGAUGUAGAGCAAAAAGAGAGAGAGAGAGAGAGGAUAUUUAAGACCACAUGUACAGUCUCAUUAUUCAGUAAUAGUAGUCCUAUUGGUAUGUUAUAAAUCCCGAACUAACAAAUGAGAAAAUAUCUGAACUUAUAGACUAAAAUUUUUACCUGAAAUAAAUUGAUUUCUAGAAAGACACCACAGGCUUUAGGAAUUCAAUGAAAUUUUCCCUUCUUUUUGGACUCAGUAAAUGGGGGAGUGAUUAUCAAAACUCUCAACUGAUUACCUAUAAAAAGAGUUUGCUUACGGUGUAGGAAUGUGAAUAGCAAUUAUAUGUGGUUUUGUGUUGGGAAAUAUACCUAUAAUACUUUUUCGAUAUUUCCUGCCAAACUUGUGGGUCCUUUCUUGCCUUGUCUAUGAUGUACAUGUAAGAAUUGAUUCAAAUAAUUAACCAAAAAUUGGAAAAUAAAAAGGUGUGUAAAAGUGGAAAAUGAAAAGGUGUGACUACGUGUCAACUUCGGCCAAAUAUUUGGAUUUGAUCCGAUGAUCAAAUUACAAAAGUAAAUAGACCAACUUGUUCUACCCAUCGAGUAGAUUGUAGUGGUAUAUUUGGAAUCUCAAAACCAAUUUCGGAUGAAUGAAAAAUUGAGGAUCAAAUUUGGAAGAAAUGAAGUGUUGCAACUUUUCGAAAGGAUGCAGGUUUUGGCCCAUACUACUUUAUUUGCACCCUUUCUACAUCUAUGAAUAGAGCCCUAUGGACAUGGUUUUGCGUGCACCAAUUGCAAUGAGCAUUCAUUCUCCUCUUGCAAUUCUCUCAUUUCAAAUUCCAUAGCAUUUUCAUGCAUUUCCCUGGUAGAGAGGGAAUUCCGUUCGAGUUUGCUGGUCGAAGUCAUUUGGAGUGCUCCUAUGGCUCGACAUGUUCAUUGUAUCUUGGGAGAUGAUUGUCAAAAAAUUGUUAGCACCGAUGCGGGUCAAAUUCAUCUUAAGGAAAGAGUUAUACUCACCAAAGCCAAUCGCAUCACUUACAUCUAAUUUUUUCUUAUCUCAUUUCUACUUGAUUUUAGAAAAUGAUUAAUUUUAUUUAUAUGGUUUAUGCAAGGUUCGAUAUGAAGAAUCACAUGUUUUAAUUCAAGAAUGGAAAUGAUCAGAUUCGAUAAUCAUUGGCUAGUUUCUCAAACUCCAUUUCGGUAAGUCGAAACCUUGUUGCGAUUUCGUGAACAUAAAUGGUAUAUUUUUUGUGAAUAUAAUAUGCAUAUAAUCGGUGUAUUCCCCAACAAUCUUAAGAUGAAAUUUCUUAUGCAUAUUAUAUUUUAUUUGCAAUCGAAAUCAAGAUACUGCAUGAAUAAAAUCAUAAGACAGAAUUUUGACAUAUCAUGAUUCUGGUAAAUGUGUUCUAUUACAACAUUUUAAUUAGAGAAAUUCAUGUGUAAUGAAUCUAUAUAUUAUAACAGAAUCGAUAGUGAUUCUAUAAUUUGAAAUCAUUCAUUUAUAAGUUGAAUUCACUAAAAUAUAUUUCAAGUUGAUUUGUGGACAAACAAUAUGAUAUUAUUCAAUCAUGCACCAUAUAAUGUAGAUUCUGGUUUUGACCCAUUAGAAGAAAUUCUAAUAUUCAGAGAUUAGAGUUGAAAAUCUCAAAUUGGUGCACUAGAUUAUAUGAUAAGUAGUUGUGAAAUUCAUAAUACAUAUGAUAUCCAUGAACCGGUGCAUACAUGUUUAUGCAUUGUAUUUGUUGGUAGUCUCAUCUAUGAGUUUUAUUUGUUGGCACUCUUUUAAUCCAAAGUGUAUCUAUAUUAAAAGAUAAUUUGUGUCAGAAGUUGCUUAAGGAAUUUUGUUUGGGAUGGUUGGCAAAAUCUUGUCAACUAAUUGUAAACAAAUAGUAUGCAUGCUAUAUGGAAAAAUGUAUCUUUCCAAAUUAAAAACAGUUUUUAAUUUCUGAAAUGGUGUGACCCGUUUGAAUUGUUUAGCAUGAAAUAUCUGUCCAGAUAGUAUAUAAAUGUAAACUGAUUUGUAAAGUCAAAUUGCACAUGGACAUUGUGAAUUUUAUAUGCUAACCAUUGCGCUCCUUCAUGUUUAAAUUGCCUCAAUUCAAAGUUAUCAAGAAAUAAAUUUACUAAACCUACGAAAAAUGCAUGUUGGGAUAAUUUUAAUUGUUCAAAGCAUGUUGGCUUUGGCUUUGUCAAAAUCUAGUAAUGCUGAAAAUUAUAGUUUGUGCAGAAUUCCUUACUUUUAGUUUAUGCAUAUGACAUCCCAAUAACUUUUGUUCUAUCACUAUGGCAAAUCAUUAUGCGUUUGAAUAUAUUACUUGCAUGAGAAGCAUAUUAUAACUGAUAAAUAUACACAUAACGGUAAUGGCAUGAGUAUGCAUUUAUUUUAAGUAGGCAACUUUAUUGGGUAUGUAUAUGAUAAUCAUAUGAAGCAGAUUAGUGUAUUCAUUUGAUGAAUCCAUACAAGUGUUUGGAUUUUGGAUAGACCUUUUUGGUUAAAAUGGUCUGGUUGGUUAAAUUUUCAUAUCUUAUUGAAAUUAUACUAACUUUGAUUAAUGUUGAUAGCCUCAUUUAAUCCUAUGAAAUUAAGUGAGAUGAUUUAAGUGGAUAUAAUUAUUUAGUUAUGAGAAUUAAGCCACUUAAUUAUUUGAAAUAUUCUACGAUCAAUUUAGAUGAAAAUGUUCAUCCUUUCAAAUAAAUAAUCAUGACUUUUGGUAGGAUUAUUUUUCAAUGGGUGUGUCUCAUCAUAGAGACUAAUUCAAGAGGUGUGUCCUUUUGUAGGAUUGUGUCUCUUGAGAACACAACUUUUCAACCUAUGGUUGAUUCGUUCAUUUAAGUUUGAAUAUGUUAAAUAAGGUGAAUAUGUACCUUAUUAUUUGACAUGAAAUGAAACUAUCAUGUGAAACAUCACAAAUGUGAUAAGAGAAGUUGCGAUUCUUGUGAAUCAAGAUGCUUAGCCCUCUUCACUGUUGAAAUUGACUUCAAUCGUGAGAUCAAUUAAAUAAGUUUAUACUUGGAAAGCAUCGUUGGUCUAUAUGAUGGAAUUGAUUUAAUUUGGAUGAUCCAAUUAAGAUAAUUGGAUUGAACUAUGAUAAAUUGUGAAUCGAUGACCACUACUUAGGAAGUAAUUAGACUUUCACUAAGAACUCGACAAGGAUAUUAUCUGAGAGAUAAAUGAAUUGAACUAUAAAAGUGUUGUUGAACCCUAAGUUCAAUUGUAACCUAAAAGAUUUGGGGCCGGGGGGGGGGGGGGGGGGGGGGGGGCUUAUCAUAAAUGCUCGUGAACUUGAAUAAAAAGUUCAAAACUUGUGGAUGCAACAUUACUAUAUUGCAUAUGUAUUCCUAAUUGAGGAAUUGUGAGGGUAACUCAGUUUAACAGUUACGUUUGCUUCUAUAUUAUAAUCACAAAAUGAUAUCUAUGGAGAUAGAAAGAUAAAAAAAACCCUUAUACUAAUUAUAAGGAUGAUAUAUACUAAGUCUAAAGUGCAUGAAAUGGGCUGUAAAGCUGAUUAUGGCGUUUGUUUAGACAUGCAAGAACAAUUGGAAUAUAUGAAGAAUAUUCAUAAAGUUCAAAUGCAUGGUAACGUUUCAAUGAUGAUAUUGAAUACCUAUGAUUCUGAAAUCCACUAGUAAAAGUGAUUGACUAGUGUAGUAUUUGAUAGAAAUUCUCCAACUGUGUUUGGAAAUUGAUAAAGCUAAUGACGCAUAUAGCUUCAUGAGAGGAUUUCUUGGUGGCGACAAUUUGUAUCUAUCAAAUGAAUCGAUCAUUGGCUAGCAAUAUUUGAUAAGAUACUAAGUCACAUAUAAUGGUAAAUCUAGACACAUAUGUCUAGACAUAAUACUGUUAAGCAGUUGAUCUCAGUAGUGUAAACUCGUGAUACCUUUAAGAGAUUUACCGAGAGAUUAAGUAUACUGCGUAUCGAAGGGAAUGAGGUAAAGCCUACUAUGUUAGAGUCCUUGUAAUGGUAACCCUACCUUGUUGACUGGAGAUCCCAAGAUCUUGGUUCAAAGGGACAACUAAGUUAUGAGAAUUCCAUGAAGCACUAACGAAAAUAGUUUCUUAACUCAUUCCUAUGAUAUUAAAGUGCUUUCUGCAGAGUUGUAAGAGGUUAAGAUAAUCUUUUAAUGAUUCAUAUAUAUUGAUUAAGUCAAGUGGAGUAUGACAGAAUAUUCUUAAUAGGAGGUCACUUAUGUGAGUGUGAAGUGGGGCCGCUUCAAUGAGAAUUAUUCAAGGCUUGAAUUCUUUAAACACUCGUAGAACCAAGAAGGGUUCAGGGCCAAAAUGAACCAAGUCAUGAGAAUCAUGAACGGUUUAGGAAAGACAUCUGUGUGAGUAUCAUUGUUUUGGCUUACACUAAAGGCUGAAUGGUUCAAGAUAUCACGUUUACCAAUUAGCCGAGUAAGUCCGAUAGUAUUUCACUACGGGAGGUUCUAGGCCCGAAGCUACCAUCCCCGAUGCAGUGGCUUUCCGCUCUCUCUCUACUUGCAUCACAUCAUAGCAUUACAUUUACAUACUCGAAUUUCCAUUCAUGUGGGGGAUUGUAUGAAUUGAUUCAAAUAAUUAACCAAAAAUUGGAAAAUGAAAAGGUGUGUAAAAGUGGAAAAUGAAAAGGCGUGACUACGUGUCAACUUCGGCCAAAUAUUUGGACUUGAUCCAAUGGUCAAAUUACAAAAGUAAAUAGACCAACUUAUUCUACUCGUCGAGUAGAUCGUCGUGGUAUAUUUGGAAUCUCGAAACCAAUUUCAAAUGAAUGAGAAAUUGCGGAUCAAAGUUGGAAGAAAUGAAGUGUUGCAACUUUUCGAAAGGAUGCAGGUAUUGGCCAAGUGUUGAAACUUUUUGAAAGGAUGCAUGUUUUGGCCAAUACUACUUUAUUUGCACCCUUUCUACAUCUAUAAAUAGAGCCCUAUGGACAUGGUUUUGGGUACACCAAUUACAUUGAGCAUUCAUUCUCCUCUUACAAUUCUCUCAUUUCUAAUUCCAUAGCAUUUUCAUGCAUUUCCCUGGUAGAGAGGGAAUUUCGUUCGAGUUCGCUGGUCGAAAUCAUUUGGAGUGCUCCUAUGUCUCGACGUGGUCGUCGUAUCUUGGGAGAUGAUUGUCGGAAAACCGUUAGCACUGUUGCGGGGCAAAUUCAUCUUAAGGAAAAAUUUAUACUCGCCUCGGCCAAUCGCAUCACUUACGUCUAAUUUUUUCUUAUUUCAUUCCUACUUGAUUUUAGAAAAUGAUUAAUUUUAUUUAUAUGGUUUAUGCAAGGUUCGAUAUGAAGAAUCACAUGUUUUAAUUCAAGAAUGGAAGUGGUCAGAUUCGAUAAUCAUUGGUUAGUUUCUCAAACUCUAUUUCGGUAAGUCGAAACCUUGUUUCGAUUUCGUGAACAUAAAUGAUAUAUUUUUUGUGAUUAUAAUAUGCACAUAAUCGGUGUAUUCCCCCACAGUACAUUUAAUGAGAAUCAUGGAUGACAAGCUAACAAAGAUCCGUUGAAUCCUCUAGAUUGAUAUGGAUCGAUUAGAAGAGAAGAUCCUAAACCAAUUAGAAAAUGAAAGGAAUAUGAAGUAUGUACAAAAACAUACAGGAUUUACAAAAAAUGCGUAUAACGUUUUGCUAGGUUGUCGAAUUUUUGGCCAUAAGUACAUUCCAAAAAUUUCUUUUGAUUGUGCACAGAUUUGUUAGAUGACAAUGUCAAAUUUUUUGGGGAGGGGGGGUCAAAAUCGAUUGUUUAGGAAUCCAUUUUUGCGUUUUUAUGUUUUGAAUUACUUUUUCAUUAUUUAUAGUAUUUUAGUUUUAUUUAGAUUUGUUUUGUAGUUUUAGUUUAUUUGGAUUUGUCUUUAGAAUUAGAGUUUUGCUUUGAUUAGGAGUUUAUUUUAUGCCUAUAAAAGGUUUAUUCAUUUUACAACAAAAACAUUAAUUUUUAAGAAUUAAUCAUAAUGUGAAAAUUUUCAUUUUAUAGCUUGUUCUUAAUUGAAAAGAACUUAUUAAAUAUUUUUCACAUUUUUGGCAUUCAAACUAUUGGAACUUAUCAAAGAUUUAUAUUCUUUGUGACUUUCAACAAAUUCACAAUAAGGUUCAUAAUUUUUGUAAUUUAGGGGUCAAGUUGUCCUAUAACUUUGGUUUGUUGAUUCAGUUUCAAACCAGGAUUUUAGCUUUGGUUCCUUGAUUCAAUAAAUAAAAUUACUAUUGUUACAUGGGUUCGCAUCAGUUGGUAUCAAAAUAUUGACUCUAAAAUUCGAUUUUAUUUUUUUUCUCUUUUUAUUUUUGAGUAAAAAGUGAGAUUAAAAAAUAAUAAUAAGGCAAAGAGAGAUCAAGAAAAAAUGUGAAGAAAGUUCAAGAAGAAAAAUAUAUUUAAUUUCAAUGUCAAGAUUCAAGAGCGAAUAUUCUUGAAGAGAGAGAAAAUGAUGAGAAUCAUGGAUGACAAUGAUAUCAAGGAUCCAUUGUAUGUUUUGAAUUGAUUCAAAUCAAUUAGGAGAGAAUAUCCUAAACAAAUUGGAAAAAGGAAUGAAUAUGAAAUAUGUGUGAAAACGUAUAGGAUGUAAAAAAAUGCGUAUAAUUUUCUACUCGUUGGAUUUUCGACCAUGAGUACAAUUCGGAAACAUCUUUUGAUUUUGUUUAAGUUCGUCGGAUGACUAUGUCAAACUUUGGAGGUCGAAAUCGGUUGUUUAGGGAUCCAUAGUUUUUUCAAAAUUUGUAGUAUUUUAGUUUUAUUUAGAUUUGUUUUGUAGUUUAUUUGAAUUUGUCUUUAGAAUUAGAGUUUUGUUUUGAUUAGGAGUUUAUUUUAUACCUAUAAAAAGUUCAUUCAUUGCACAAUAAAGAUAUUAAUUUUGAAAAUUAAUCAUAAUGUAAAAAAUUUCACUUUCUAUCUUGUUCAUAAUUGAAUAGAAUUUAUCAAAUAUUUUCAAUAUUUGUAGUGUUCAAACUAUUCUAAUUUAUCAAAGAUUCAUACUCUUUGUGGUUUUCAACAAAUUCAUAGCAAGGUUCAUAGCUUUUGUAAUUAAGGGGUCAAGUUCUUCCAUAACUUUGGUUCUUUGAUUCAAUAAAUUAUUCGGUCAAGCUUCAAAUCCGGAUUUUAGCUUUCUUGGGUUGUGAUUUAAUCUUUUGUAGACUUAAAAGCUACUAUUGCUAUGUGGAUUGUAAGUGUAAUGCCCUAUGUCCAAUCAACUUUGAAUAUAAACACUUUUAAUAUAUAAUUUAUGCAAUUUGAAUCUACCGACUCUAUUAUUUAAUUAAUAUUCAAUUAAAUUAAAUAAUAGAGUCGGUAGAUUCAAAUCUUAGUACUUUGUUAAUUACAAAAAGUUGAGAUUGUGAAAUACAAAUUAAAUAUGAUUGAAUCUUAAAUUAUCCAUGGUCGUAUGUAAUGAUGAGAUAUGGAUAUCGUUAUUACGGAUAGACUAUCACGUGUGGCAUUUCUUACUUAUGAAGUAACUAGCUGAUUUCACAAGCUAAAAUGUGAUGAUACUUAAAAUGAACAAGUGGAUGUUUUGUUAUAGAACAAAACAUUAGAGAUCCAGUGGGAGAUUCCACAAGGAUAACUAUUUGAGUGUUAGUGGUUAAUUUUUAACUUUUGGUAGUGGAAUUGGUCAUUUGACUUGAGGUCAUCGCAGUGCCUUACAUGAGGGCAAUUAUAUUUUGGUGAUAUUGGAUGUUGCUCUAUUAAGGGCUGCUAAUACAACAUCAUUCGGGUAUGUUAAGGAUCAUAUGAAGGUUGUGAAUGAUCAAUAAAGAAUUCGUCACUUUUAGAUAGUAAGAAAUUAUGACCUAUAUUUCAUUCAGUUAAGUUGAUAACGAAAUAAGCCACACUAGUGGUAUUUGCUUAAAAAAAAAAAAAAGUUGAUAACGAAAUUCUUGGCGAAGGUGUACUCAUAAGUGAAAAUGAAUUUCAUUUUUGACUUGUAUUGACUUAAUAGUGGAAUGAAAGAUAUGAUCGAUAAUUAACAUUGACACUUAUCCAUAUCUAGUAAUUGAUCGUAUCAUAUUGAUAAAUGGAUUAUAGUUUCACAAUAAACGAACAAGUUUGGUUUUGUCAUACCAUGUGACAUUUUUUGUCACAUGGACUGCCCUAACACAUUGUUAGAUGUUAAUCUUGGACGACGAAUGUGAAUUGGUGAUACAUUAAAAUGGGUGUUACAAUUUAUUGAUUUUGAAUAGAUCAAAAUAAUGAUUCACGUCGUUUGGCAUCAUAAUUGAGAAUCUAAUAUGUCACACACAAAAGGAGAGCUAGAAGAACGAGAUUUACCAACUAAUUAAUUAACAAGUGUUAGAUAAUUAAUUAAUUGGGUUGCUUAUUAAUAGGCUCGAAUUAAUUAAUUUGAUUAAUUAAUUCAUGGAUCGAAUUUAAUUAAAUGGGUUAAUUAAAUAUUGAACGGAGUUAAGACCGUUUGAGCUUAUAUAAUAAGCAGCUAGGGUUUGAAAAUUGUAGAUAUUCUCAUUAUUUUUACUAGCACAAGAAAAUCAAAACCCUGGUUCCCUCUCAAUCUUGUUUCCUGUAUAGAUUUUCAUUGGUGGGUAGGCAAUUGGACAGCCGUGGGUAGCAGAUCAAAAUUGUUGGAACAAAAGAAACGCAAAGGAGUUUGUAGAUUUUAAUAAAGGUAUAAUUUCUAUCACAAUUUCUAUUUAAAUGCAAAACAGAUCUUUGGUGGGAAUUAAAAUUUGUUUUAUUUUUCACUUUGAAUGAUUAAGCAAAUUUCCAACAGUAUUCGCAUCAACAUUUACUUUAUGCAUGAUUUUUUUUGUUAAUAUGAAUAUUGUUAAUGGUUUAUGGGAUGCAUGAUGAAUUUGUCAUCAAAGUUUUUGAACUUGGUUUGUGAUUUGUUUUCACUCCCACUUAAUUUGUAUACAAAGGAUAGGACAUAACUCUUCUUUUAGAUGUUCCAGUAAUUUUAUUUUUUAAAAUGUUUAGCAGGAUUUUUAUCCAUCUGUUUUAUCUUUUUAUGCAUGUAAAAAGAUCAGCUUCAUUAUUAUCUCCUACAAAAGUAAAUACAUAUUUUUACCUUUAUUUUAUUGUUAAACUUCAAUAAAAUUAAAAUAUUUAAUUCACAUACUUCUUUAUUUGUAUUACACACGGUAAAAAAAAAAAUUAGUGCUUGUAAGAUUAUCCGUGUACUUCUGUCUUAACCUUUUUUUAUCUUUUCAGGUCCUUUUUUAGCUGUCCAAAAUCUUGAAUUAAAAAAAAAAAAGGAUCCUUAUAUAUGUGCCCGUAUCCCACACUUGGACCCAAGUCCAAGCAACAUGGGUACACAUUGUUCCAUCAUAUUUGAGACAUGUAUUUCAUGGUUGGAGUGUUCAUUUCUCUUGCAGCACAAGCUAAGCUACACAAGUUCACUCAAGAUGGUAAUCACCCAAUUUCUGUUGGGCAAGAUGUAUUAGAUCCUUCAAGAAUAGCUAGGUCUAGUUUUACUGUCUAUUACAUUCAUAAAUAUUACAAAAAGGGUAAUUGAUACAAAAUGUACCUAUCUUUCAUGUUUAUUGUUGAAAACAUCCCUACAUUUCAUUUUCUUCCACAUUUCUUUGCACAUAAGGCCAUUUUGACGAUUUUACCCUCCAUUGAAAUGAAGCAAAAAGAAAAGAAAAGAAAAAAUAAUUAAUUAAUUGCAAUUAUAGUCCCAAAUUUUUAAAAAAAAUUAUAAAUAAGUCAUAAUUUAUUGUGAAAUAAAAAUUUUUAAAAUUAAAUAGAGAAAAAAACUUGAAUGUACAAGGAAAUAAUCAAGAAAUGGAGAAAAAAUUUUUAAUCAUAACCAAUGGAAAUGAAAAUUUUUGAAGAUUACGUGAUUUUUGCCUCAAGCCUUCCAUCUACUUUUCACUGAAUAAAGAUUGAGAUUUAUGCUUACCCAUUUUUGAAGAUUUUCAAUUUCAUUGGUUAUGGCUCAAAAAUUUCUCUAUUUCUUGAUUAUUUCUUUGUACAUUUAUGUUUCCCUUCUUCUUUUUUGGGUAAUUUUAAAAAUUUUCAGUUCACAAUAAAUUGUGACGAUUUGUCAUUUUUUUGAAAAGUUGGGACUAUUAUUGCAACUAGUUCUUUAUUUUUAUUUUUUUAUUUUAGUUUUAUUUGAAUAGAGGGUAAAAUUGUCAAAAACUAAUGAAAAUGACCUUCUGCGCAAAGAAAUAUAAAAGGUAUGAGCGAAAAUGCCAAAAAAUGAAAGUUUGUGACGUUUUCCAUAAUAAACUUGAAAGGUAUAGACGUUUUGUGCCAAUUACCCUUACAAAAUUAGGACAAGGGCGGCAGUGAAUGUUUGAAAUCCGUACUAGAUGAGUAUGUGUAAAAAUCAUUAGGUAACUUUCCAUGGGCCACUUAUUAGAUUCAUUUAAAAUACAUUCAUUCCCACUGGAACCACAACUGAGGCAUUGAAUCUGAUGAAGUGCAUAAGGGAUUAGAGUUUAUGAUAAAAUGGGACCGUCGGAAGGCAAAAUAAUUUUUUUUAAUUUUAUGAUAACUUCGGGUUGGUUCGUUUUUGGCGAAUUGCUAGUCUAAUUCAAUCAUAAUCGAGCCAAUAAAUAAAACUCAGAGCUUUUGCCCUGAUGCAAGGCCAAUUUUGGGCAAAAUCCAUCGUUUAGGCCCUCGUUUAGGCGUUUUUGCUAUUUAUGGUAAUUUUUGUUUUUGCAAUAUCCUUUUCCAUAAAAUUUAGAUUUAUAUUCCGUUUGUUGGAGGACGAUCCUGAAGAUAAGGAUUUUCCAUCUUAGUAGUUAUCUCAUAUUUUUCUAUUUUUGGAAACAUAUCUUUUUAUUCUAUUUUCCGAAUUUUGCUAGGUUUUCCUUCUAUUUAAGACGUUGUAAGCUAUUUGAGGCAACAAUUCUUGAAUUCAAUAAAAAUUUCCUUGAGAGUUUUCUCAUUUUGUGAUUGUUCAUCUUCCCUAUAAUCUUUUGCUACAUCAGUUGGUAUCAGAGCCGAAAUCGUUCCUUCACCAUGCCGCCAAGGAGACGUCCUGAAGCCCGUGAUGCCCCGGUAGAGGAGGUAUAUAGACUUGAUGAAAUUGCACAGCUAUGUCAGCAAGUGGAAUUGCUGACACAACAGAUCACUGUGCUUAUGCAGCAGCAGCCUGCGCUUGCAGCCCAACAGUUUGAGGAUUUCGAUGAUGAGAAUCUGCUUGCACCGCUAGAACAACCAUUGGAUCCGCCAGUUCGCAGGAGAAGGGGUGGUCAAGAGGACAACCGACGUUGGGAAUCAGCAUUUAAGGUUGAUAUUCCAUGAUUUCAUAGUGGGUUGAGUCUAGAGGAGUUCUUGGAUUGGGUGACUGGAGUGGAGGAGAUCUUGGAGUUUAAAGAGGUUCCCAUCGAUAAAUGUGUGCCUCUCGUUGCAACGAGGCUUCGUGAGCGAGCACCGAUGUGGUGGCAGCAGACUAAAGUGACAAGAUCCAGGCUAGGGAAACCUAAGCUUGCAUCGUGGGAUAAAUUGAAGAAGCAUAUGAAGAAACAGUUUUUGCUUUACAAUUAUGUGUGGACCAUGUACCAACAACUGCAGAAUCUGCGUUAAGGUGGGAAAAUGGUUAGCGAUUAUACCACGGAUUUUUAUAUGUUGGUUACGAGGAACGAGAUGAUGGAGACGGAGGAGCAGUUGGUGUCACGGUACGUGGGUGGUCUUCGCCCCCAAAUACAGGAUACUCUUAAUAUGUUUGAUCUUGUGACAGUUUCUGAAGCACAUCAAAGGGCAAUACAGAUAGAAAAGCAACAGUCCAGGAGAACUACUAGUCCUUUCAUUGUAGGGAGUUCUUCCAGUAACCCACAAUAGCAGGUGACACGUCCUGGUAAUCCUGCUCAAUCUGGUUCUCCUAGAACAAAUCAUGUCCAACAACCAACACGUCUUAGGAUUGGUAUUCGUUGUUUUGGAUGCGGAGUUAUAGGCCAUAGGCAGUCUGAGUGCCCCAAAAAUCCGCGCAGGGGACUCUUUGUUGAUUAGGGGAAUGGUGAUUAUGAAGGUCCGCUUGUAUUUGACAAUGAAGGCAUAGAAGAAGCAACAGAAGAGGAAUAGUUUGUGGUUGGUGAUGUGGGUCAGCCAUUAGUGGUGAGGAGGAGUUUCCUGACCCCCUUGGAGAAUAACACUGAUUGGUUGCGUAACAAUAUCUUUCAAUCGACAUGUACUGUUGGACGGAAGGUAUGUAAAUUUGUUAUUGAUUCUGGUAGUUGCGAGAAUGUGAUGGCUAAGGAGGUCGUUCAGAAAUUAGGUUGGGUUUGCAGACUAAGAAACAUCCCAAACCAUACAAAUUAGCCUGGCUGAAGAGAGACAAUGAUGUAGAAGUUUCUCAACAUGCUCGAAUCAGCUUCUCUAUUGGACCUACCUACAAGGAUCAUGUUUUAUGUGAUGUAGUAGAGAUGGAUGCGUGUCACUUAUUGUUAGGAAGGCCGUGGUAGUUUGAUAGGCACUCACUGCAUGAUGAAUAUACCAACACGUACAGCUUUCUGUUUGGGGAAAAGAAAAUUGUGUUACUACCGGAUAAGGGUUCAGUACAAAUAGUUGGGAAUAACGCCAAUUCACUGACCAAAAAGAAGUUCGAGACAGAGAUGGAGAAGUCUGAGGUAGUGUAUAUGCUGGUGGGAAAGUUGAUUAACAUUGAGCAUGAAGUCCUUCUCGCAGUUUAGUCAUUGCUGAAGGAGUUUCAUGAAGUUUUCCUAGAAGAGCUUCCAGAUGGAUUACCACCACUGUGGGAUAUUCAGCAUCAGAUUAACUUGGUGCCUGGUGCUACCCUGCCUAACUGAGCGCAUUACAGAAUAACCCCCACUGAGCAUGAGGAGUUGCGCAGGCAAGUUGAGGAGCUUUUGGCAAAAGGACACAUCAGGGAGAGUCUUAGUCCUUGUUCUGUUCCUGCUCUUCUCACGCCGAAGAAGGAUGGCACGUGGCACAUGUGAGUGGAUAAUAGGGCGAUCAAUAAGAUUACGGUGCGUUAUCGCUUUCUUAUUCCCCGCUUGGAUGAUUUGUUGGACCAACUUACCAGUGCUUGUGUGUUUAGCAAGCUUGAUUUGAAGAGUGGGUACCAUCAGAUUCGGAUCAGACAUGGGGAUAAAUGGAAGACCGCAUUUAAGAUGAGGGAAGGAUUGUACGAGUGGUUAAUCAUGCCCUUCGGCCUCUCAAAUGCACCUAGUACGUUCAUGCGGGUUAUGAAUCAGGCUCAUCGCCCAUUCAUCGAUAAAUAUGUUGUGGUCUACUUUGAUGAUAUUUUAAUUUAUAGUGUUAAUGAUGAUGAUAAUGUCCAGCACCUUAGAAAAGUUCUUUCAGUUCUUCGCAGGGAUAAAUUCUAUGCUGCAAUGAAGAAGUGUUCAUUUCUUACUGAUAGUGUGGUGUUCCUGGGUUAUGUGGUGUCGAAGGCGGGGUUAACAGUUGAUACAUCUAAAGUAGAGGCGAUAAGUUAGUGGCCACAGCCCAAGACUGUCACUGAGGUGCGAAGUUUUCAUAGCCUUGCUUCCUUCUAUUGCAGGUUCAUACCACAUUUCAGUAGCAUCAUGGCACCAAUUACAGAUUGCAUGAAGGAUGGUAGGUUCCAAUGGACUCGCGAGACAGAGUCGUCUUUCCAAUUGAUUAAGCAAAAGCUGACUACUGCUCCAGUUUUUGUGUUGCCUAACUUUACCCAACCAUUUGAGCUACAUUGUGAUGUUUCAAAAGUGGGUAUUGGUGGUAUGCUAAGUCAGAACAAUCGCCCAUUGCAUAUUUUAGUGAGAAGCUUUGUGACCCGAACUUUCGGUAUAGUACUUAUGAUGUGGAGUUCUACGCAAUAGUCUAGGUCGUUCGGCAUUGGUGUCACUAUUUGUUCCAUAAUGAGUUCAUUUUGUAUACGGAUCAUGACGCCCUUAAACACCUUGGUACUCAUGAUAAGGUGUCUGCUUGACAUGCCUCUUGGAUUACUUACUUACAGCAGUUUACCUUUGUGAUCAAGCACAAGGCAGGUGCCCUUAACAAAAUUUCAGAUGCAUUGAGUAGGCGCCAAACUCUCCUUACAGAAAUGCGAGUGGAGGUUCCAGAUCUUGACAGUUUGUGUGACUUAUAUGCUACUGACCCAUACUUUUCCCAUGUUAUUCAGAAGUUGCGGGAGGGCAUGCAGUUGGAGUUUGCAUGGGUUGAUAGGUUUUUUUUUUCAUGGCAAUCAGUUGUGUAUUCCAGAGGGCAGUUUGAGGUUGAAGAUCAUUCAAGAGUUGCAUAAUGAGGGCCAUGUGGGUCGUGACCGAACAUUGCAGCUUGUUGCUGCUUCUUACUUUUGGCUAUCAUUGCGCAAAGAUGUCGACAAGUUUGUGGAGCGUUGUUGGGUUUGCCACUUGGCCAAGGGCAAGGCGACAAAUGCGGGCCUAUAUAUGCCCCUACCUUGGACAGACGUGAGCAUGGAUUUUGUUGUGGGACUCCCCAUGACUCAACGUGGGUUUGAUUCGAUCUUCGUAGUGGUUGAUCGAUUUGCAAAGAUGGUACAUCAUCCCCUGCAAGAAGACUACAGAUGUCGCCAAUGUGGCCUUACUAUAUUUUCGUGAGGUUUAUUGCCUGCAUGGACUACCUACAUCUAUUGUGUCUGAUCGGGAUACUUGUUUCCUUAGCCAUUUCUGGCGCAGCUUGUGGCGCUCAGUGAAUACACGGUUGGACUUCAGCAGUGCAUAUCACCCUCAGACAGAUGGUCAAACAGAGGUUGUUAAAUGUUCCUUGGGUGAUUUAUUACGUUGCCUGGUUGUUGAUCACAUCAAGUCGUGGGAUCAGAAGUUGUGUCAAGUAGAAUUUGCUCACAAUCAUGCUGUUAACCGAAGUACAGGUUUUAGUCCAUUCGAGGUGGUGUAUGGCCUUGUUCCUCGUGGUCCUCUUCAUCUGGUUCCAAUUUCUACUUCUGUUAAAAUACAUGGUAAGGCCGAAGACUUUAUUUAGCAAUUGUAGCAGGUUCACUCACAAGCUCAUGAUCAGUUGCAGGCUGCUGUCACUAAGUAUAAGCAUGCUGCGGAUCUUAAAUGCAGACAUGUUGAAUUUGAGGUAGGUGACUUUGUUUGAGCGGUGUUAACAAAGGAUCGUGUUCCUGCUCAUGAAUACAACAAGCUUACUGAGAAGAAGAUUGGUCCAUUAGAGUUUAUGAUGAAAUGGGACCGUCGCAAGGCACAAUAAUGUUUUUUUGAUUUCAUGAUAACUUUGGGUUGGUUUGUUUUUGGCGAAUUGCUAGUCUAAUUCGAUCAAAAUCGAGCCAAUGAAUAAAACUCAGCGCUUUUGGCCCUGACGCAAGGUCAAUUUCGGGCAAAAUCCAUUGUUUAGGCCCUCGUUUAGGCAUUUUUGCUAUUUAUGGUAAUUUUUGUUUUUGUAAUAUCUUUUUUCUUAAAAUUCGGAUUUAUAUUCCGUUUAUUAGAGGACGAUCCUAGAGAUAAGGAUUUUCCAUCUUAGUAGUUAUCUCAUAUUUUUCUAUUUUUGGAAAAAUAUCUUUUUAUUCUAUUUUCUGAAUUUCGCUAGGUUUUUCUUCUACUUAAGGCGUUGUAAGCCCUUUGAGGCGACAGUUCUUGAAUUCAAUAAAAUUUUCCUUGAGGGUUUUCUCAUUUUGUGAUUGUUCAUCUUCCCUAUAAUCUUUCGCUAUGACAGAAUCUUGCUCACCGUAGAUUUCCGUUUGGGAAGGGAGUAAAUGAUCCCAUCACUCAGUUGCGAUACUGUUCCUUCUGCUAGUUAUUAAAUAUGACUCUCUUUGAAAACUCCAUUGCUUCAACACCAAAAGAAUUCUCCAUCAUCGGGAAAGAAAGGUGAAAAAGAGAUAUUUGAGCCUACCAGAAGCUAUGGGCAAUGAUACAGUUUGAUCGGCCCAUUCCAAUUUGUGGUGCCAACCUUACAUGGUAAUUGGAGAUUCUGGUAGUAGACAUGGAUACAAAUUUGAGUUUUCGGUGACAUUGUUGGAUGCUCUAGUCCUUUAGGAAACCAUAUGAGGUUUAGCUAUGUUCAAAUGAAUCAACUAAAGUUAAUUUCAGAAGUACAAUUUUGUCAUGAUGUAUUAGAAAUUAUUGUCAAGUUAAUUUAGUCUUUAGUAGAUCUAUUCAAUGUCUGUUGCAAAAUUGUGAAAAGAUACUGGCAGUUGCGACCGUGUGACCAGGAAUGUUGGACUGAUAACUGGACUUGUGAUUGCUUUACUACGUCUACAUCCAUUGUGAUCAAUAGAGAGAGUUACCCUUUUGUAGCCUUGUGGACCAGGUUGUUGGUCAAUAAGUGUUGUCUUGGAGUCUCUCUCUGGCUUGCUUUAUUAGUAGGUACUGACGGAGUGAACCUUCUAUAACCUUUCUUUUUUGGUAGAAAUCAUCUUGUCUUCUUAUAAAUUUGGCAUUUACAAAGUUUCUAUUUUUAUAUUUCAAUUUUUGAGUUGGAAUUUUCGGAAUAACUCAUUUGCUUUGGAAAGUUAAUUCUUAUACUUUAUAGUUCUAUGCUGUCUUCCUAAAGACUGUUCUUCACAUCUAUGAUGAGUUGCUACCUCUCUCUCUCUUUUUUAUUUUUUUAUUUUUAUUUUUAUUUUUAUUUUUAUUUUUUUCUUUAGGUUUUUCUUUUUCUUUUUUUUUUUUAUGAUUCAAAAUGAAGAAAAUACUUAUUCUUCUUUUUAUGGCAGAGACUGAGUGGACCUAAGGGGAUGACAAUGAACUUGCACGGAGCACCAGCAAGUCCGAGUUCAUACACUGUGAAACGGAUUGAUCGCUAGAGAUUCAUGUAGAUAAUUAUCCAAAUGUAAGAUUGUUUGUUAUUCUAAUUUUUCUAAGAACGUUCAUUAGUUACCAGUCCUUUUUCAUUUCUUAAAACAAGUGUCCUUUUCAUUACAUUAUUAUCUAGAUUACUACUUUGUGGAUUCAUAGUUCAAUUCUGUUGGGCGUCUUUUGGGUCCUAAAGGAAAUUCACUAAAGCGAGUGGAAGCUACAACAGGAUGCCACGUGUAUAUUAGAGGAGAGGGUUCAAUAAAGGACUCGGACAAGGAAAUAGAAUGGCUCUCCCUAUAUGAUGCAUUUUUGUGGUGUUAUAAAGACUAAUUCUGAGGUAGCUAUAUAGUUGAUUGAAAACCUGUGAAUGAUGCACACAACAAAAGGGUCAAGAAAAAAUAAAAGUGAAGAGGUACAUUUUGGAAUUUUUUUUACCGAAGUAGGCUCCUUUGUAUGUACCCGAAUGGGCAAAUCCACAUUUGAGCUGUUACUGGUUUUAUUCAGAUAUGAUUUUCAAAAAUUUGGUAACGUACUAGGUUUCCAUCCAUUGGAGUCUAUGAGUCUUGUAAUUCAUUAUUAAAGAUCCAAGUACAGAUUUUUAAGGCUUUCCUUGUGAUCCUGGGAUACA